GUGCCAGCCGCCGCGGUAAUACGGAGGAUGCAAGCGUUAUCCGGAUUCAUUGGGUUUAAAGGGUGCGCAGGCGGGUUGAUAAGUCAGAGGUGAAAUCCCACAGCUUAACUGUGGAACUGCCUUUGAUACUGUCAGUCUAGAGUAUAGUUGAAGUUGGCGGAAUGUGUCAUGUAGCGGUGAAAUGCUUAGAUAUGACACAGAACACCGAUCGCGAAGGCAGCUAGCUAAGCUAUAACUGACGCUCAUGCACGAAAGCGUGGGGAUCAAACAGGAUUAGAUACCCUCGUAGUCC
rnacentral:rRNA from 1 species